UCCCGGCUACGGAUGGCUGUAGCAUCACCAGGGAUCGAACUCGCGAUCUCCUGAUGAUAGGGCCAACGCUUAGACGGUUGUGCCACUUGGGAGCCCUAGUGUUUUAUUUUAAACAUUUUUCCAAAAAUGUUUUAACCUCAGUUUUAAUAGGUAAUUUUGGGCACCUAUAAGAUCCUCUGGGAGUUGGCAUAAAGCAUAAAAAAUAAAGGCUGCUUCAGUUUGCUUAACAUUACCCAUAGAUUUGCUUGACAUUACCCAUAGAUUUAAGAGACCUACAUAUCAAAACAGCAUAUAGGAAAUAUACAGAAAUAACCUUGCUGUGUUUCUAAGCUAACAGUAACACUUUAAAAUCAAUUCUGUAACUAACUAGAAGCUGUUGUAAAGAUUCUAGAACUAGAUUAAUGUGCUGUGCUCUCUUUAUACUAUCUUGUCUUUGUUAGGAGCAUUUUAAAUGAACUGCAACUUUUUAAUUGUCUUUUAAGGAAGUUCAGUUAGGAGAACACAAAGUAUCAGUCCUAUUAGAAAUAAAAGCAUGGAUAUGUUUCUUUAGGUUUUGUUGAUAAUAAACCUUUACUUCUGGCUAUAUUUUAACUCCUUAAAUGGCCAAGGCCAACCAAUUAUUUAUGUGUUCCAUACAUUGUACCUCUAUCUAUAAUAUUUGGUGAGAAAGACAAGUAUAUUUGCAUAGCAUCUACACAAAUGGCACACAGUCUUGUGGGCUUUGAAUAAAAAGGGCCCAGAAACUGGUCACUGGGGAAUAGAUUCAUAACUGCCAGUUGCAACAAAGUUAUACCACCUUUGUAAGGCAUGAACCAUGAACCGACAUUUCCAGAAAGUCCUACAUAGAUUUUCAACCUGGCUAGAAGUAUUUUUAAGAUCUACAGUGUCUGUAAUGAUUUUUUGCCAGAAUUAAUAUUCAGACUUGUCAUUUCAAAUCAUAUAAGGGCUAUCUCAGUACUGUAGUGGGAUCUAAAACCUGAUUGAAAUGUGUUAGUGAAUCCAUUUACAUUUACUGUUUCUGUUGUUUUCUCUGUUUUAUCCCCAACUGCAGAUGGCUUUUUUCUACAACAUCCCCACACCUGCUGAAACCAGUACACUGAGCAUCAAGGCUAAGACUGAGGGACGUUGCUCAAAAUCACUUGCACAGUUUCUAUCCAUCAACUUUACAGUCAUAUAUAAUGGAACAUUAAACAGCACCAAUAUGGUCAUAGUAGACAUAAAAAUCUUGUCAGGAUUCACAGCAGAUCCCAGUGCUCUGAAAUAUAUGGCACUUGUGGAGCGAGCUGAAUCCAA